AUUGAACGCUGGCGGCAGGCCUAACACAUGCAAGUCGAACGAGUGGCGGACGGGUGAGUAACGCGUAGGUAACUGCCUCCUAGCGGGGGAUAACUAUUGGAAACGAUAGCUAAUACCGCAUACUGUGAGAUGGACCUGCGUUGUAUUAGCUAGUUGGGGAGGGAAAGGCUCACCAAGGCGACGAUACAUAGCCGACCUGAGAUGGUGAUCGGGCACACUUGGACUGGGAAACGGCCCCGACUCCUUCGGGAGGCAGCAGUAGGGGAUCUUUGGCAAUUGAAGGAAGUCUGACCCAGCAACGCCGCGGUAGUGAAGAAGGUUUUCGGAUCGUAAAGCCUCGUUGUUAGAGAAGCGGUAACUAACCAGAAAGGGACGGCUAACUACGUGCCAGCAGCCGCGGUAAUAC
rnacentral:rRNA from 1 species